GCCUCUGUAGCUCAGUGGCAGAGCGCUUGUCUUGUGAGCCAGAGGUCAUAAGUUCAAUCCUCAUAGGAGGCG